AGUGAACGCUGGCGGUAGGCCUAACACAUGCAAGUCGAACGGCAGCACAGUAAGAGCUUGCUCUUACGGGUGGCGAGUGGCGGACGGGUGAGGAAUACAUCGGAAUCUACUUUUUCGUGGGGGAUAACGUAGGGAAACAUACGCUAAUACCGCAUACGACCUACGGGUGAAAGCAGGGGAUCUUCGGACCUUGCGCGAUUGAAUGAGCCGAUGUCGGAUUAGCUAGUUGGCGGGGUAAAGGCCCACCAAGGCGACGAUCCGUAGCUGGUCUGAGAGGAUGAUCAGCCACACUGGAACUGAGACACGGUCCAGACUCCUACGGGAGGCAGCAGUGGGGAAUAUUGGACAAAGGGCGCAAGCCUGAUCCAGCCAUACCGCGUGGGUGAAGAAGGCCUUCGGGUUGUAAAGCCCUUUUGUUGGGAAAGAAAAGCAGCAGGUUAAUACCCCGCUGUUCUGACGGUACCCAAAGAAUAAGCACCGGCUAACUUCGUG
rnacentral:rRNA from 1 species